GCCGAGGUGGUGAAAUUGGCAGACACGCCAGCUUGAGGGGCUGGUGCUCUUUAUUGAGCGUGCAGGUUCAAAUCCUGUCCUCGGCACCA
rnacentral:tRNA from 1 species